AUGGCAGCCUGUUCCCCUUCCACUUCCACUCCUUUUCCCAACAAAUUAGGCCUCCGCUGCUUCACCUUUUUGGUUCGCCUAUCAAAUCUGGCACCGAUGCUAGCCGCCGCCUCCCGCACCCAGCAGUCCACACCAAAUCGAUCACCACCCAUCAACGAGACGAGCGGCACAAGCAGACGAGGAGACAGACUUGAUGUUGUUGCUGGCGUGAUCCUCCUGCCGUUGAACGCGGCGUGCCUCGUCGGCAAGCAUGCAGUGCCGGUUGCAGAGCUGCAGCCAUUGAGCGAAGAGGAAGGGGUCCCGCUAAUGCUAGAUGUCGUCCGCCUCUUGGGAACGCCGUGGGGGAAGGGUGCUGUCCGUCGCCGCGGACCAUGCCGAGGAGCACCGUCGGAGAUCAGGAGGGACAACUUCAGUUCAGGCUCUUUCUCCCUCACCUCCUUUCUUUGGUUCCCACCUUUUUCAAUUGUGGACCAGCACGGCCACAAUUAUGUCAUUCACUCUCAACCUGCGCUACAAAAUUAUUGGUAUAUGCAAUUUACGGUCCAUGCAUGA
rnacentral:rRNA from 1 species